rnacentral:tRNA from 1 species
ACUUCAUUAGCUCAGUGGUUAGAGCUUAUCCAACGGGAUGACAGAGGUUCGAAUCCUCUAUGAAGUA